CUAACACACUAGUUACACUGUAGCAGACAGACAGGUCCACUAACUCACUAGUUACACUGUAGCAGACAGACAGGUCCACUAACUCCCUAGUUACACUGUAGCAGACAGACAGGUCCAGUAAUGUUACACUAUAGCAGACAGACAGGUCCAGUAGUGUUACACUGUAGCAGACAGACAGGUCCAGUAAUGUUAGACUGUAGCAGACAGACAGGUCCAGUAAUGUUAGACUGUAGCAGACAGACAGGUCCAGUAAUGUUACACUGUAGCAGACAG